AUUGAACGCUGGCGGCAGGCCUAACACAUGCAAGUCGAGCGGAUGAAGGGAGCUUGCUCCUGGAUUCAGCGGCGGACGGGUGAGUAAUGCCUAGGAAUCUGCCUGGUAGUGGGGGAUAACGUCCGGAAACGGGCGCUAAUACCGCAUACGUCCUGAGGGAGAAAGUGGGGGAUCUUCGGACCUCACGCUAUCAGAUGAGCCUAGGCCGGAUUAGCUAGUUGGUGGGGUAAAGGCCUACCAAGGCGACGAUCCGUAACUGGUCUGAGAGGAUGAUCAGUCACACUGGAGCUGGGACACGGUCCAGAAUCCGACGGGAGGCAGGAGGGGGGAAUAUUGGACAAUGGGCGAAAGCCUGAUCCAGCCAUGCCGCGUGUGUGAAGAAGGGCUUCGGAUUGUAAAGCACUUUAAGUUGGGAGGAAGGGCAGUAAGUUAAUACCUUGCUGUUUUGACGUUACCAACAGAAUAAGCACCGGCAAACUUCGU
rnacentral:rRNA from 1 species